ensembl:lncRNA
GGGAAGGGAAACAACAGGUGUUGUACAUAGCCUGCAUUUGGUAGAUGUACAUAAUAUAUAUACAGACAUCCAGUGGUAAAUACAUGAUACAGACAAGACCAGUUUAGUGGAUAUACACUGUGCUGAUAGGGUUACUAUUACAGGGGUAAGGGGAGUAGGAACAGAGAAACAUGUCGAUGGUGGCAAUAAUAUAUAUUGUAUAUAAAUGCUAGCAUAGGGUAUGAGGUAGAGUAAGUGUACGGCAGUGCGGUGGCGGUGGGUGCAAUUGGUCGAGGGUUUCUGCAGGUAGACCGGGUGGAGAGACUACAGCAGCGUCCCAUGGCGAAGAUAGUCUAGAUUAGGAGAGAAAGAAAAGGAACAGAGUGAGUGGGUUAUUAUAGGCAUUAGCAAUGUGAUAAGAAAUGAGAGGGAGAGGGAGAGAGAGAGGCUGCCUGGCUGGGUGUAUGGGGAUUUUAUUUAGUAUUUAGUUGGCUGGUGACAGUCGCAAUACGCGCCUUAUGUUGAUUAGGGGGGUAUUGCAUGUGUUUUAGAUGUGUUUAGCUAUGCUGGCAUUUAGCAUUUAGUUUGGUUUGGCAUUUAGUUUGGUUUAGCAUUAGUUAUGUUUAGUUAUGCUGCCAUUUAGCAAUUAGUUUGGUUUGGUACAUAUGGAGAUUUUAGUCGUAAGCUUUGUUAGGGUUGCAGGGUACAACAUACGCUGUCUGUAGCCCAGUGAUAUACGUUUUUUUUUAUUUUUAUUUUUUUAUGUGUUCAGUAAUGUCUAGUUAUGCUUGCUGACUGGCUGGCCCAGCAGGUGAUGGGUUUGUUGACGCAAUUACUUGUGGCUAUAGGAUGCACUAAAGAGGAAUGUCUUUAGUCUUGAUUUGAAUAUAGGUAGGGUGUCUGCAUCUCGGAUGGAGGCAGGGAGAUUGUUCCAGAGGAGGGGGGCUCGGUAGCUAAAGGCUCUGCCUCCUACUGUGGUUUUUGAUAUUCUUGGAAUUACAAGGAGGCCUGCACUCUGGGAACGCAGCGGUCUUGGAGGGCAGUAGGGGACAACUAGUUCCUUAAGGUAGUUUGGAGCCAGGUCAUUUAGGGCUUUGUAUGUUAGCAG